CUGUAGGGGGCUGCAUCACCUUUCCUCCUCCCUGAUGAUGCGGUCCCGACCCGAACCGGGCACGUCCUCCCCGAUGACCCGGUUCGCAGAAAGAGACGGCGGUGCCUCCUCCCUGGCAUCGCCGUCUUUUU
rnacentral:ncRNA from 18 species